AGCCCCGUAGGGUAGAGGCCAAUCCUUUCGGACUUUGGAUCCGAAGACCCAGGUUCGAAUCCUGGCGGGGCUA
rnacentral:tRNA from 1 species